CUUCGGGGUUUGGUGUAAUUCCAUACCGGCGGUAAAGUCCGCGAGCCUUUGGGCAUGAAUAGGUGAAAUUCCUAUACCGACAGUAAAGUCUGGAUGAAAGAAGU
rnacentral:ncRNA from 1 species